rnacentral:rRNA from 1 species
GAUGAACGCUGGCGGCGUGCCUAAUACAUGCAAGUCGAGCGAACGGACGAGAAGCUUGCUUCUCUGAUGUUAGCGGCGGACGGGUGAGUAACACGUGGAUAACCUACCUAUAAGACUGGGAUAACUUCGGGAAACCGGAGCUAAUACCGGAUAAUAUUUUGAACCGCAUGGUUCAAAAGUGAAAGACGGUCUUGCUGUCACUUAUAGAUGGAUCCGCGCUGCAUUAGCUAGUUGGUAAGGUAACGGCUUACCAAGGCAACGAUGCAUAGCCGACCUGAGAGGGUGAUCGGCCACACUGGAACUGAGACACGGUCCAGACUCCUACGGGAGGCAGCAGUAGGGAAUCUUACGCAAUGGGCGAAAGCCUGACGGAGCAACGCCGCGUGAGUGAUGAAGGUCUUCGGAUCGUAAAAAUCUGUUAUUAGGGAAGAACAUAUGUGUAAGUAACUGUGCACAUCUUGACGGUACCUAAUCAGAAAGCCACGGCUAACUACGUG